rnacentral:misc_RNA from 1 species
AGAACUAUAUUAUCCGCAAACAUCUGCAAAAAUUAAAGAAAUUACUAGAGAAAAUCAAGGAAAUUGAAAAGAACAAAACGUCACAUGUAUAAUUUCUUGGGCAUCACAACCAAGAUCCCAUCAACACCAUACCUAGGAACUGAAUCACAUAAUUCCAAAAAGAACUAAAACUUGUAAAAUUCUAAUACCUUACAAAUAUUUAAAUUUUUGCGAAUGGAUUACAAAAUCCCUUAUCCCCAAUCAUACCAUCCAUUUAUACUUUAUACUACCAGUUACAACCUUUGAGUUGUUUCAUUAUCACAUAGCUUCCAUUGCCUGGAAACAACUGAUCUAAUGUGUACUAUUAAUAUCCUACAUCAUCUACAUAAUUAAUUACAGUAUUGCCAAAGACAACCAAAGAUAGCAGGAGCCAUUGACUAGAUUGGUUUAUAAAACUAUAAAGGACGAAAUGAAAUAGUUGGGUUUCCAGUAUCUAUCUUCCUGCCUAUGCAACACAAAGCUUACAAUAGAAAUCCAUAUUAGUAAAUCAACCAAAAAAAGACAUCACUACCAGUUGAUCACUGUUCAAUUCACAUCAAAAUAAUCCUAAAGAACAAUUUCACAUUUUAAGUCCCACCUAGUCCUCCUAAAAGAUGUUUCUGUAAUAUAAAGGUUUUAUAGUACAAUAUUAGCAUUUGCAACUCAUAUCAUAUCCUAAUUUCCCAGUAAUAGUAGCUCCAAUGUAUCCAUACGAUUUGUAGCCAUACCCUUUCUACAUUAUAUGGGUUUCCAAAACCAAAAUUGCAGAGCCCUUUCAACACUCCAUGUAGCGAUUGCUUUUGCACAUAUAUUUGUUAUACUAAUAACUAAUAAGCGAAGACCAAAAACCAAAAGAAUUUCCAUCAAAUACAUGACAUAGCAAAAAAGAAGAAUGUUAUCUGUUGCUAAACAACAAGUUUAUAAUACGAUUACAAUAUUGAAAUCACCCAUCGAAGUAACAAAAGUCAAAAAAUUGUCGUAUAUAGAUGAAGAACGAGACAACCCUGCAAAAACGCAGCAAUCUAAUCUAAUUAAGGUUGUUCACUGAAAAUGAAAAUCAAAAUUCAAAAUUUUAGAUAUUUACUGUCAUUUCCAAAUUUUCUCGGCAUUUCUACUAAGGAAAAAAAAAA